AGACAGACAGUCAGCCAAGACGUAAACGUUAACGUUAGAGCAAAUAUCUAAAACGUAAAUGUGUCACGUAAAUGGAGCGUAAAUUUCAAUAAAAAUCAUUUCAAUUUCACCAAAGCCAAAAGGACUCGUAACUGCUUCAAACGCACACACACACCGCACCGCAUUGCCUAGGAAGAAUUUGGGAUUGGAAUGAUUUGGGAGAAAGAGGUGAAUGGUUGUCUACUCGGUUGUCUGGCUUUGGCUUUGCUACCCCACAAUUACAACAAUUACAACAACCGUUGCUACGCGUGCCUGGCAAAUCUAAGCGAGACUGUAACCAAAGCAGAACGAAGCCAAAGCCAAAGCGAAAGUCAGGAAGCUUCCGUUCAUCUGGCAUUAACAAUCCUCGGAACACAAAUCACAAAUCACGAAUCGCACUUAACUACUCGACACACUCUUUAACUAUCAUUCACUCACCCCACUUGUCGAUGCAGCAUCUCGCCCAGCGUCGGAUUGUUCACGGACACAUCUGGAGCAUUGUCCACAAUGACGUGCAGAUACUCAUCGCUGAGCAGCAGCUUCUGCAGAUCGAUGUAGCGAUCGUGUGGCGUUGGCUUCCGUGUGGAGAGCGUUGAGCCAGCGACGACGGCUUCUUGGCCGCUGGUUGUGCCACCGCCGCCGCCAUUUUGACUGCCCGAUGCUUGGGCCUGAGUGGACGCCUCCUUGGAGCCAGAAGAGUUGCUGCAACGAAAGAAAAUAAGAUGAAGGCCAUAAUUAGUUUGACGUUGAGGCGCACUUGACAAUGGACCAGCCACUUACACUUAAUUGCAACUCACAAGUGGCAGUUUAUGAUGCACUGUGCAGCAAAUGGAAAACGGCCAAGAGACCGAACGAAGGCUGAACACUGAACACUGAAUGUUGUAAACUGAAAGAUGAGAGACGAGAGCCGAGAGCCGAGUGGCUCAAGUUGAGCAUUUAAGGACAUGCUCCACAAGCUUGACAACUGGAACAACAACUUUGGCCUCUGAACAUUGGACCAGAAGGGAGUCAAGUAACAGGCCAACUAAAGCCCCCGUUAUCCCAAAGUUACCCCUCGCCAUACACUAUGAAGCACUCUGUCCGCAGAGCAUGUACUUCAUUCAACACCGACUGCACGAUGCUCUGCAAGAAAACAAUUGGUGGCCACGCGUUGAUCUCAAACUGUAUUCCUUUGGUACAGCAAAAUUCUUCAAUAAUACAGAUCUGAAUCUCAUGGAAGUGCAUUGUCAACACGGCAAAAAGCAGUCGCUGCAGUCAAGAAGUGUAAAGACAGCAGAACAACAGCGGAGAUCCUCACGCCCUACGGCAAAGAAGCACUCGCUCUUUAGUUGUCCGUUGUUCCCAGUAUUGUGUUUGAUAAUGACGCUUUGAGCUCCACCAGCAGAGAAAAAUUCCCUACAACUUCAGGGCUUUUUUUUUGCAGCGAGUAUGAACUUGCGAUCGAUUAAAAUGUGCCUGUCAAUGCCAAGCACUUCUAAACUGUAACAAUACGAACUUGAACUAAUAAUAAGUG